rnacentral:rRNA from 1 species
GGACCAAGGAGUCUAGCAUGUGCGCGAGUCAUUGGGACUCUGACUAAACCUAAAGGCGCAAUGAAAGUGAAGGUCCGCCUUGCGCGGGCCGAGGGAGGAUGGACGGUCCCGAGGGGCCGCCCCGCACUCCCGGGGCGUCUCGUUCUCGCAUUCGAGAAGAGGCGCACCCAGAGCGUACACGCUGGGACCCGAAAGAUGGUGAACUAUGCCUGGUCAGGACGAAGUCAGGGGAAACCCUGAUGGAGGUCCGUAGCGAUUCUGACGUGCAAAUCGAUCGUCGGAACUGGGUAUAGGGGCGAAAGACUAAUCGAACCAUCUAGUAGCUGGUUCCCUCCGAAGUUUCCCUCAGGAUAGCUGGCGCUCGCUUCUCGCGAGUCUCAUUCGGUAAAGCGAAUGAUUAGAGGCAUUGGGGUCGAAACGGCCUCAACCUAUUCUCAAACUUUAAAUGGGUGAGAUCUCCGGCUUGCUUGAACUGUGAAGCCGCGAGAUAUCGGAUCAGAGUGCCAAGUGGGCCACUUUUGGUAAGCAGAACUGGCGCUGUGGGAUGAACCAAACGCCGAGUUAAAGCGCCUAAAUCGACGCUUAUGGGAUACCAUGAAAGGCGUUGGUAACUUAAGACAGCAGGACGGUGGCCAUGGAAGUCGGA